GGGGGGGGGGGGGGGGGGGGGGGGGGGGGGGGGGGGGGGGGGGGGGGGCGGGGGGGGGGGGGGUGGGCGGGUGGCGGGGGGGGGGGUAACACGGGGGUAACGGGCCCUUGACGGUGGGGUAGCGUCAGGAAACUGGGGCUAAUACCGGAUAGGAGCUCCUGCGGCAUGGUGGGGGGUGGAAAGUUUCGGCGGUUGGGGAUGGACUCGCGGCUUAUCAGCUUGUUGGUGGGGUAGUGGCUUACCAAGGCUUUGACGGGUAGCCGGCCUGAGAGGGUGACCGGCCACAUUGGGACUGAGAUACGGCCCAGACUCCUACGGAAGGCAGCAGUGGGGAAUAUUGCACAAUGGGCGGAAGCCUGAUGCAGCAACGCCGCGUGCGGGAUGACGGCCUUCGGGUUGUAAACCGCUUUCGCCUGUGACGAAGCGUGAGUGACGGUAAUGGGUAAAGAAGCACCGGCUAACUACGUG
rnacentral:rRNA from 1 species